GGCUUAGAGUUUGAUCCUGGCUCAGAUUGAACGCUGGCGGCAGGCCUAACACAUGCAAGUCGAGCGGUAGAGAGAAGCUUGCUUCUCUUGAGAGCGGCGGACGGGUGAGUAAUGCCUAGGAAUCUGCCUGGUAGUGGGGGAUAACGUUCGGAAACGGACGCUAAUACCGCAUACGUCCUACGGGAGAAAGCAGGGGACCUUCGGGCCUUGCGCUAUCAGAUGAGCCUAGGUCGGAUUAGCUAGUUGGUGAGGUAAUGGCUCACCAAGGCGACGAUCCGUAACUGGUCUGAGAGGAUGAUCAGUCACACUGGAACUGAGACACGGUCCAGACUCCUACGGGAGGCAGCAGUGGGGAAUAUUGGACAAUGGGCGAAAGCCUGAUCCAGCCAUGCCGCGUGUGUGAAGAAGGUCUUCGGAUUGUAAAGCACUUUAAGUUGGGAGGAAGGGCAGUUACCUAAUACGUUGAUUGUUUUGA
rnacentral:rRNA from 1 species